rnacentral:rRNA from 1 species
CAACCUUGCGGCCGUACUCCCCAGGCGGUCAACUUCACGCGUUAGCUUCGUUACUGAGUCAGUGAAGACCCAACAACCAGUUGACAUCGUUUAGGGCGUGGACUACCAGGGUAUCUAAUCCUGUUUGCUCCCCACGCUUUCGUGCAUGAGCGUCAGUACAGGUCCAGGGGAUUGCCUUCGCCAUCGGUGUUCCUCCGCAUAUCUACGCAUUUCACUGCUACACGCGGAAUUCCAUCCCCCUCUACCGUACUCUAGCUAUGCAGUCACAAAUGCAGGUCCCAGGUUGAGCCCGGGGAUUUCACAUCUGUCUUACAUAACCGCCUGCGCACGCUUUACGCCCAGUAAUUCCGUUUAACGCUCGCACCCUACGUAUUACCGCGGCUGCUGGCACGUAGUUAGCCGGUGCUUAUUCUUACGGUACCGUCAUUAGCCCCCUGUAUUAGAAGGGACCGUUUCGUUCCGUACAAAAGCAGUUUACAACCCGAAGGCCUUCAUCCUGCACGCGGCAUUGCUGGAUCAGGCUUGCGCCCAUUGUCCAAAAUUCCCCA